rnacentral:lncRNA from 1 species
AUAGGAGCAACAAAGAAUUUGUACCACAUAAAUGUUAACUACCGGAUCAGGGAAAACAUAUAUGUGAAAAAAUAGUUUGUUGGCUCUGUUCCUUGAAUCCCAUUUCUGCUUUCUGCUCUUCAUGGUGUUUUGGAUCUACAUUACGCCCAGCUGAGACUAUUAAGUGAUCUGUUCCUUGUGGAUUUAAGUAUGUUGCCUGUGGCCAUCCUGCAUCAUUAGAGGAAUAUACCCAGGGAUUAGGAGAAUGACUGUAAAAUGUGCCUUGAUUGAGCGAGAC